rnacentral:rRNA from 1 species
UACGAAGGGGGCUAGCGUUGUUCGGAAUUACUGGGCGUAAAGCGCGUGUAGGCGGGUCUUUAAGUCAGGGGUGAAAUGCCAAGGCUCAACCUUGGAACUGCCUUUGAUACUGGAGAUCUUGAAUCCGGGAGAGGGAUGUGGAAUUCCAGGUGUAGCGGUGAAAUGCGUAGAUAUCUGGAGGAACACCGGUGGCGAAGGCGGCGAUCCUGGACCGGCAUUGACGCUGAGGCGCGAAAGCUAGGGGAGCAAACGGG